rnacentral:rRNA from 1 species
CUACGGGGGGCAGCAGUGGGGAAUAUUGGACAAUGGGGGCAACCCUGAUCCAGCCAUGCCGCGUGUGUGAAGAAGGCCCUCGGGUUGUAAAGCACUUUCAGUGAGGAAGAACGCCUGGUGGUUAAUACCCAUCAGGAAAGACAUCACUCACAGAAGAAGCACCGGCUAACUCCGUGCCAGCAGCCGCGGUAAUACGGAGGGUGCGAGCGUUAAUCGGAAUUACUGGGCGUAAAGCGCGCGUAGGUGGCUUGAUAAGCCGGUUGUGAAAGCCCCGGGCUCAACCUGGGAACGGCAUCCGGAACUGUCAAGCUAGAGUGCAGGAGAGGAAGGUAGAAUUCCCGGUGUAGCGGUGAAAUGCGUAGAGAUCGGGAGGAAUACCAGUGGCGAAGGCGGCCUUCUGGACUGACACUGACGCUGAGGUGCGAAAGCGUGGGUAGCAAACAGGAUUAGAUACCCCAGUAGUC